UUAGUGUCGUCUGCUUUAGUUUUGUUUACACAAGUUUCGAAAAAGAGCUACGAAGUUUAAGAUUUUUAAAGAUUAAAAUAUAUGGAAAAUGGAAUGUAUUGAAACGUACGUGGUUGUACGAAAAAUAGCAGAACAAAUAAAAUUACAAAAAUUUGGACCUCGUGUCAACUCUCGUCUCAUUAUAGAAUCGCCUAAUACACACUCCAUGCUGUUCAUAGCAGAUUCCAGGCCUGAGCCAGCCUCAAGAUAUGCAUGUUUUUUGUAUGCCUUUAUUGAACUGUCAUCAUCCAGUAUCAUCGCUUAGCAUUCCAUUUGAUGGGAGAAAUUCCCCUUUCUUUACAUGUCCUCGUGUAUGCCCAUGUAAUUGUGGGUGUAUUCACGUGGACGCCCUUUUUCUUAUUCCGUAGACCUGGUGGAUUCAACUCGUCAGCGGAUGGAUGGAUCACCCGGUGAAUGCUUGGCCUUCGGUGAAUUCCCAGGCUUAAAGGUAGGACAAAUAUAUCUCCAUUCUUCCUUUUUGACUAUUUGGUGGUGUUGAUUGUAUAAAUCGUGACGUAGUAUACGAUUACUCCUGAGCUAUGCGGUUGACUGCACGUAACUGUUUUCUCUCGCCGCCUUUAUUCUCACUCAGUCAGGGUUUUAUUUUAAUUAACUCGACUGCAGAUCAGGCCCUGUUUUGUACCUCUCGACUAUAUCUCUGUUGUGGGUAAAUUAUAAAAUUCGGAAAAUACUUAAACUUUACACACUUCAAGCAAAGUGCAACUAGUCUUUUUCAAAGUGCAAAGACUUUCACGCUCCUUAUGAGAUCAAAUUGUAGGCAUAAAGUCGAUUGAUUGUUGAUUAUUUACGAGUUGAAUUCCUUAAAUGGUUUCAAAUAAUUUCAAAUUGUGACUGACCCAUAAAACAGCCGCCAACUCGUUGGAUUCACCCGACCCGAGAAAGAAGAGAACGUGAAGAAUUCGUGAAUUGCGAUAACAAUUAUCGGAUGAUGCAAUAGAGCUGCAGGCCGUGAGCAAUUAGACUCCAUCAUCAUAAAAAAAAAACGAGGCGUAUUGUACACGUAUAUGCAUAUAUACUCCGUCUCUUUUUGCAUAAAUUAAUUGUUUAAUAAUAAUCCGCACUCUCACUUAUUGUGUUGCGAUGAGUGCAGUGAGCGGAUGGAAUUCCAUUUCUCUUUCUUUCUCUCGUUGGGUAAUCUCGCUGGUGGCCCUUUGAAAAAAAAUUAAAAAUUUUUAAUCCUCCGGCCAACAACUAUUCAUAAGAAGCCAAAAAAUGUAACUAUAGCAACUGGCUGCCGCUGUUUGUAUACCGAAUAACCAAAACGGCCAGGAAUUGUAUACGAGAUACUAUGUGUGUGUGUAAGUUGCCCUUCUAAUUUAUGUGUCAAACCACUUUCGCUCUCGUCUGUCUAUCUAUGAAGAUUUACUCAAUGGCAUAAGCAAGCUGUCCCUUUUUGCACGGGUAUCGACAGGUCGUACUAAAAAAUUUUUAAAUCUAUCCACCCGAUUAUGUCUAAUCAUUUUAAUCAAAAAUCAUAUUUUUUCUUCCCCCCGAAAAAAAAGUUCCUUUAUACCGAAUCGUCUUUCUUGGUUAAUGCAUUUCGAAACGGUGUAAGAAAAAAUAUGUAAUUAAAAAUGA
rnacentral:lncRNA from 1 species